rnacentral:lncRNA from 1 species
GAUGAAAUGUGCAAAUUUUUAUAAUAGUAGGUAAUUCAUGUGUAAGAAUUUUCAUUUUAAUAUAGAAAAUGCCAUGUUUGAUCAUAUUUAUGAUUGUAUUUUACAAAAAUAAGAAUUCUGUUGUUUGAUUAAUUUUUUUCCAACUUUGUCAAAUAAGGGGAAGCAACUCAAAUGCAAGGGCAGAUAAUCCAGAUAGUGUUACUUUUACUAUAGAAUGUGUUAGGAAUUUACCCAUUUUUACAUGUAGCAAGAAAACGAGUCCGGUGACCCCAUUUUUUCUUUUUCUUAUCUGAAAGCAUAAUAUUGAAGCUAUCUUCUCAUAUUUUAUCUCAAAAUUCUAUGGUGUGGUUUGCGUUUUAUGGCGGAAAAAUGGGUUUUCCAUGCAUAAUCUAUACAAAAUCUUUACAAUUUUGAACAACCUGUAGCGUGAAAAUAAGUCCGGUGACCAUUCUUUUUAUUAAUGUUUUUAAACAAGCAGGAUAUGAACUACAUUUUGGCAAAUUAUUAAAAGAUUCUAUGGAUUAUAAUUUAGACACCCCAUCUACCUUAAGUG